AAUGACACUGAUGACAGCCGCCUCGACACGACUGAUUAUUCAUGUUUUAAGACCGUUAAAGUACAGUUACUGCAGAUGACAGCUUAUUUACAGACUCUGUCACUCAAUAGCACAUAUUUCAGCCCAUCAAUAAUAACGAACGACACGCUGUUUUAUCAAGCAUCCAGGAUGUCACUCUGAUCACCUAAUGAAGGGUGUGUUUGGUCCAGCAGAAGCAUGUGGUCAGACAUUGACUGUAAUGAUGGACAUCUGCUGAGUGACAGAAUUAAUUUUGAACAGUUUAUAGUGUGAUUUCUGGAGCAACACGAGAUCCAUUUCCCCAUUCUCUGUUUAUUCUGCCAUUG